CGCCUCUUGACACAACAUAGGAGGUCCAGCCUGCCCAGUGACAGAGUUCAACGGCUACGGUACCCUGACCGUACGAAGGUAGCAUAAUCACUUGUUCCUUAAAUGGGGACUUGUAUCAACGGCAUCACGAGGGCUGCACUGUCUCCUUUCUUCAAUCAGUGAAACUGAUCCCCCCGUGAAGAAGCGGGGAUGAAAUUAUAAGACGAGAAGACCCCAUGGAGCUUUAAAUAAUACAGCCACACUAUAUCAAAAUAUCCUCUUACUAAAAGUCCUGACUGUAAAUUUUAGGUUGGGGAGACCGCGGAGAACAACUAAACCUCCACGACAGACGGCCUAAGCCCUUAUCCACGAAUAACACUUCUAAGAAUCAGUACUCUGAUGUUAUUGACCCGAUAUUAUUCGACUGACGAACCAAGUUACCCUGGGGAUAACAGCGCAAUCUACUUUGAGAGCCCAUAUCGACAAGUGGGUUUACGACCUCGAUGU
rnacentral:rRNA from 1 species